GGAAAAUGUUCUCUUUCUGAGAAGCAGCUUAGGAAGCAUAGCAGGAAGAAGAGCAAACAGGCUACUACUCACAGGGUGAGCUGGAAGCCAGACUGGAGACAGUGGAGUUCUGCAUGCCAAAAUCUGCAAAGAUCUGAACUGGAUUGCAUCACUGAAAUCUGGCCUGGUGACCCCGAGGUCUUGUUUAAGCACAACUUGUCUCAGCAAGAUAUACCCAGGGAAAAUGGAUGUGGGGUAUCCAUCAUCUGAACCCAGAUGCAGAAGAGAUCUUUCCACUGCAGAACCAAUUGUUUGCGUACACCAAUCUGAUAUGUACAUCCAGAUACAGGAACAUCAAGAUUUGUGUCCAGGAACAAACUGCCAAUUUAGGAGACUCCCAGGGUUCAUAACCAAUUGAUUUUUGUGUAUGGGUUACUUAAUAUAUAUUAUUGUGAAUGUUUAAUUCAUUUGGACUGCACUAUUGAUGUCUGGUUUAGAUAGUAAACGCCUCAGGCCAGGGGACAAAUCUUCCUGCAUGUUUUGUAUUGUGCUCAAAAUACUUUUGGUGCUGUAGA